GAUGAACGCUGGCGGCGUGCCUAAUACAUGCAAGUCGAGCGAACAGACGAUGAGCUUGCUCCUCUGACGUUAGCGGCGGACGGGUGAGUAACACGUGGAUCACCUACCUAUAUUACUGGGAUCACUUCGGGACACCGGCUCUAAUACCGGAGAAUAUAUUGAACCGCAUGGUUCAAUAGUGAAAGACGGUUUUGCUGUCUCUUAUAGCUGCAUCCGGGCUGCAUUAGCUAGUUGGUAAGGUAACGGCUUACCAAGGCAACGAGGCGUAGCCGACCUGAGAGGGUGAUCGGCCACACUGGAACUGAGACGCGGUCCAGACUCCUACGGGAGGCAGCAGUAGGGAAUCUUACGCAAUGGGCGGAAGCUUGACGGAGCAACGCCGCGUGAGUGAUGAAGGCCUUCGGAUCGUAAAACUCUGUUAUUGGGGAAGAACAGCUGUGGAAGUAAACAUGCACGUCUUGACGGUACCGAAUCAGAAAGCCCCGGCUAACUACGUG
rnacentral:rRNA from 1 species